GUCUAACAUCCGAGCUGUUCCGGUCGAACGUAAAUUUGCUAUGUGUCGUUAGUUUUUAACACGGAGACAGCUCAAAAUGCGGUUCUGAAUUCAGUGGCGACACGAAUACGGUAUUUGAGGAGCGAUUGCUUCUCGAUUUUUUUUUUUCUUUUUUGAAGAUUUCGAAUACGUGAAUACGCAAUGUGAUUACAACUAAUUUAUGUAGGUAUUGUGUUUUGAACCGCAAAUCUAAUGACAGAAAAAUAACCCCCCCCCUCCCCCCGAAAAUAUUCACUUAUUUCCUUUUCGGAAAACCGGCCUAUACGACGAAUAAAUAUUUUUUUAACUAUUUUUUUGGGUACGUCCUAAUCUUUGGCGUUUUUUUUUUUAUUAGGUGUAUACGAGUAUAUUAUAUUCCUUCGGGAUUUAACUCCGUUCAAUAAGAUAAAAAAAAAAAAAAAAACUGCAGCGAGAUACAGCGCUACGCCCGACGCUAUACGGAAACUCGUUAAUUUCCUAUGAAAAGUUUUCUAUCUAAAUUAUUAUUUUCCGAGAGCAGACUCGACGGCGACGACGGUAGAGUUUUUGAUUCGCGUAAUAUAUAAAACCAUCGUGAUUUCCGUAAAUGUGCGACGGGAUCCGCAGUGAAGUCCGCAAUAAUAAUAAUGACAAUUAUACAUUUUGGCAUUUAUAAUAACGAUUUCCGCGACUUGUCGGUUUUAGGACGGCAUUUAUUAACCGCGAAUUUAUGUGUUUUAUCGCGGACUCGUAAUAAUUAAAUUUCUAUUCUGUCACUCUCGACGACGACUUUUCCUUUGUGAGUGCCGUUCUUAGCGAAACGGUCACGCCCGAAGAUCACGGAAAACCGUCGGAGGAACAAGAAGAAUAAUAUUUUCGAAACGUACUAUUUUAUUUGCAACGGAAAGCGUAUUUACAAACCGAAACGUAAUCGCGACAGUGGAUUUUAAAAGUUUUACGAGAUUUCAGAAAUCUUACAAGACAUAUUAACCUACCGGAUCGGUCCGGACCCGGUACUGAUCCAAGGAAAUUAGUGUCUAUAAUUUGAACAUUAAACCAUUACUCAAGUUGGAAAAAUAUAAGAAGAGGGACUAUAUUACGACUUAAAAUAACGUUCGCGUCAUUUUCAGUUAUUGAACUCGACAUGACUCGUGGGACUUUGCAAUAAUUGGUGUGGUAAAGCCAUGUAAACAUUAUUUUUACACAUGACUCAGUGAUUAAUAAUUUCUGAAAAAAAAAAUGCAUUGCCUAAUAAAUUUUUUUACAUACGAAUUUCAAUAAAACCAAAACGUUUUGACC